GCUGAUGUUCUUUCUUCAGUAGAACAAAACAUAAUUUUUAGCUGAACUCAUGGUCCUUGGUGAUUCAUAAAAUGCAGCUCAACGGGUGCCGUCACUUUGCGAGUCAAAAAACAAGCAACACAAAAUUAAUACCCAUGGUGGCACAGAAAUCUUGAGCUCCAGACUCUCGUUUUCCUGGUCAUAAUGUUAUAAUGUGUUGUCUGUGUCUGUUUUUUGACUUGCAAAGUGGUGGUCCCUGUUGCCUUGAAUUUUAUGAAUCACCAAGGACCACGAUUUCAGUUAAAAAUCAUCUUUAGUGUUCUACUGAAGAAAGAAAGUAGCCUACAUCUUGGUUGGCCAAAGGGCAAUUUUUGGUUCUUUUUCAGUGUGUCAGGUUUAUACUUGUAGUUGACAGUCGAUGUUCAAAAUGUGUUAUUUUGCAGGAAUGUUUUAACAGUACACUGUACAUAUACCUUGGCUUAAUCGCUUAUUAAUUUGUGCACAUCUGCUCCGAGUUUCUCAAAAUUAUGAAUGUCAACCUGAAGAACCAGAAAUAAAGUUGAUCCCACAGGAAAAGCGUCUGAAGUACUGAGUCAGCUUUUAAGGAUAUGUGACACUUCAGGAAAUAUUGACGUCCAUGUAUGAUGAGCUGCUGUCCUCCGUGCUCCCUCUGCCUAUCUGCUUGAGGAUGACUCCAACGUUCUCAAGAUGUGGGAUGGCUGCAUUCCCGCGCGGAUGUUCAGACUCUGUAACUAACAGGAGACGGAUGUGUGUCAAACUCGCUGUCGGAGAGGAGAGAGCGAGAUCGGUGUAUAUACGGUAGAUACUGUGGAAAAUGAGUGAUGGAACCGGUCCGUCUCCCUCACUUGUCUGAUCAGCUCUUCACCUGCUAGCUGCUACAGCUUUUAGUGCAUUGUGCAUUUUUUUUUUUUAACAAUAUUUGUCUAGUAUUUAAUUUGCAUAACAUUUUCUCAGUUGAUUUUCUGCAAUGGUAUACGUUCCAUAUAGGCUACAGUACCAUGUGUUCAUCUACUCAUAGAAAUGACAGUUGUUAUCUCAGCUCAUUUCUCAAGGGCCUUGCACUGUUUUGGAGAAUGUAUUUCCAUUUGAAAAACAAUUUAAUGUUGAUGUUUUUGUUAAUGAUUUGUGGUUAUUUAAUAAAAGAGUGA